GUGUGUGAACCGUUGGCGGC
rnacentral:miRNA from 1 species